rnacentral:rRNA from 1 species
UACGUAGGGGGCAAGCGUUGUCCGGAAUCAUUGGGCGUAAAGAGCGUGUAGGCGGCUCGGUAAGUCCGCUGUAAAAGUCCAGGGCUCAACCCUGGAAAGCCGGUGGAAACUGUCGAGCUAGAGUCCGGAAGAGGCGAGUGGAAUUCCUGGUGUAGCGGUGAAAUGCGCAGAUAUCAGGAGGAACACCAAUGGCGAAGGCAGCUCGCUGGGACGGUACUGACGCUGAGGCACGAAAGCGUGGGGAGCAAACAGG